GCCCUUUUUCCGGUUGUACCUGCCGGACCCGACUGCUAUCGGGGUAGGGCUAAGCCAUGGAAGUCGAACGCCCCGCCGCUGCGGGGCGUGGCGCACGGCUGAGUAACACGUGGCUAACCUACCCUCGGGAGGGGGAUAACCUCUCGGGAAACUGGGGCUAAUCCCCCAUAGGCGGGGAGGCCUGGAAAGGUUCCCCGCCAAAAGGGGGCGCAGGGGGCCAUCGCCUGCGCUCCGCCCGAGGAUGGGGCUGCGGCCUAUCAGGUAGUUGGCGGGGUAACGGCCCGCCAAGCCGAAGACGGGUAGGGGCCGUGAGAGCGGGAGCCCCCAGAUGGGCACUGAGACAAGGGCCCAGGCCCUACGGGGCGCACCAGGCGCGAAAACUCCGCAAUGCGGGAAACCGUGACGGGGCUACCCCGAGUGCCCCCCUUGUGGGGGCUUUUCCCCGCUGUAAGAAGGCGGGGGAAUAAGCGGGGGGCAAGUCUGGUGUCAGCCGCCGCGGUAAUACCAGCCCCGCGAGACCGGGGCCCUAAACAAGCCCCGGCGCGACUGGUCGGGGUGAUUAUUGGGCCUAAAGCGGCCGUAGCCGGCCCGGUAAGUCCCCCCUGAAAGUCUCGGGCUCAACCCGAGAAGCGGGGGGAUACUGCCGGGCUAGGGGGCGGGAGAGGCCGAGGGUACUCCCGGGGUAGGGGCGAAAUCCUAUAAUCCCGGGAGGACCACCAGUGGCGAAGGCGCUCGGCUGGAACGCGCCCGACGGUGAGGGCCGAAAGCCGGGGGAGCGAACCGGAUUAGAUACCCGGGUAGUCCCGGCUGUAAACGAUGCGGGCUAGGUGUUGGGCGGGCGAGAGAGCCCGCCCAGUGCCGCAGGGAAGCCGUUAAGCCCGCCGCCUGGGGAGUACGGCCGCAAACCUGGUUAGGGCUUAGAGCCCUACCGGGGCGGAAGGCUGAAACUUAAAGGAAAGGGAGGCUGGAAGCUGGGUGCAAAGGCUUAAAUAGCUCUUUUAGGCUUCUAAGUUCCAUCUUUCUCUC
rnacentral:rRNA from 1 species